rnacentral:rRNA from 1 species
AUGAGUUGUUUUCACCUCUCGAAGAAGAUGUGCCGGAACCUGACUUCGAUCUCCUCUAAAUUCUGGUGGGAUGCAAUGAAUGGUGAGAGAAGGGUCCAUUGGAUAGCAUGGCAGAAGAUGUGCGCAAGCAAGAGGGACAGAGGUAUGUGGUUUAGGUAUUAUGAGGCCUUUAAUCAAGCUUUGUUGGCCAAGCAAGCAUGGUGCAUUCUGCAAGUCCCGACCUCUCUUUGUGCUAGAGUACUCAAGGCCCGGUACAUCAAGGAUGGCACGAUCCUAUCUGCCUCUUGCCCAGCUUCCGGCUCGUUCACCUUUCGAAGUAUUCUGCAUGGUCGAGAUUUACUUUGA